rnacentral:rRNA from 1 species
GACGAACGCUGGCGGCGUGCUUAACACAUGCAAGUCGAACGGAAAGGCCCUGCUUUUGUGGGGUGCUCGAGUGGCGAACGGGUGAGUAACACGUGAGUAACCUGCCCUUGACUUUGGGAUAACUUCAGGAAACUGGGGCUAAUACCGGAUAGGAGCUCCUGCUGCAUGGUGGGGGUUGGAAAGUUUCGGCGGUUGGGGAUGGUCGCGCGGCUUAUCCGCUUGUUGGUGGGGUAGUGGCUUACCAAGGCUUUGACGGGUAGCCGGCCUGAGAGGGGUACCGGCCACAUUGGGACUGAGAUACGGCCCAGACUCCUACGGGAGGCAGCAGUGGGGAAUAUUGCACAAUGGGCGGAAGCCUGAUGCAGCAACGCCGCGUGCGGGAUGACGGCCUUCGGGGUGUAAACCGCUUUCGCCUGUGACGAAGCGUGAGUGACGGUAAUGGGUAAAGAAGCACCGGCUAACUACGUG